rnacentral:rRNA from 1 species
AGUGAACGCUGGCGGUGGGCCUAACACAUGCAAGUCGAACGGCAGCACAGUAAGAGCUUGCUCUUACGGGUGGCGAGUGGCGGACGGGUGAGGAAUACAUCGGAAUCUACUUUUUCGUGGGGGAUAACGUAGGGAAACUUACGCUAAUACCGCAUACGACCUACGGGUGAAAGCAGGGGAUCUUCGGACCUUGCGCGAUUGAAUGAGCCGAUGUCGGAUUAGCUAGUUGGCGGGGUAAAGGCCCACCAAGGCGACGAUCCGUAGCUGGUCUGAGAGGAUGAUCAGCCAACCUGGAACUGAGAAACGGUCCAGACUCCUACGGGAGGCAGCAGUGGGGAAUAUUGGACAAUGGGCGCAAGCCUGAUCCAGCCAUACCGCGUGGGUGAAGAAGGCCUUCGGGUUGUAAAGCCCUUUUGUUGGGAAAGAAAAGCAGCAGGUUAAUACCCCGCUGUUCUGACGGUACCCAAAGAAUAAGCACCGGCUAACUUCGUG